rnacentral:rRNA from 1 species
CCUACGGGAGGCAGCAGUGGGGAAUAUUGCACAAUGGGGGAAACCCUGAUGCAGCGACGCCGCGUGAGUGAAGAAGUAUUUCGGUAUGUAAAGCUCUAUCAGCAGGGAAGAAAAUGACGGUACUUGAUUAAGAAGCCCCGGCUAACUACGUGCCAGCAGCCGCGGUAAUACGUAGGGGGCAAGCGUUAUCCGGAUGUACUGGGUGUAAAGGGAGCGUAGACGGCAGCACAAGUCUGGAGUGAAAUGCCGGGGCUUAACCCCGGAACUGCUUUGGAAACUGGGCAGCUAGAGUGCAGGAGGGGUAAGUGGAAUUCCUAGUGUAGCGGUGAAAUGCGUAGAUAUUAGGAGGAACACCAGUGGCGAAGGCGGGUUACUGGACUGUAACUGACGUUGAGGCUCGAAAGCGUGGGGAGCAAACAGGAUUAGAUACCCUAGUAGUC